rnacentral:rRNA from 1 species
AUACGGAGGGUGCAAGCGUUAUCCGGAAUUACUGGGUUUAAAGGGCGCGCAGGCGGUUUGGUAAGUCAGAUGUGAAAGCCCACGGCUCAACCGUGGAAGUGCAUUUGAAACUGCCAGACUUGAGUACCAGAGGGGAAAGUGGAAUUCCCGGUGUAGAGGUGAAAUUCGUAGAUAUCGGGAGGAAUACCGGUGGCGAAGGCGACUUUCUGGCUGGAUACUGACGCUGAGGCGCGAAAGCGUGGGGAGCAAACAGGAUUAGAAACCCUAGUAGUCC